CUUUGUGUAGUUGGAUCGAUCACAAUUGCACUCCAUGCUCCACAGGAGCAUGAUAUUGAUUCAGUAAGGGAAGUUUGGGAUUUUGCAACUAAGCUAGCUUUUCUUUCCUAUACAACUAUAGUGGUGGUGGCAGCCUUUGUUAUAUAUUUUGUUGUCCCUCAGCAUGGACAAACAAACAUCAUGGUGUACAUUGGAGUCUAUUCUCUUCUAGGAUCUCUCACUGUUAUAAGUGUAAAGGCUCUUGGAAUUGCAUUGAAGUUAACAUUCACAGGAGUGAACCAACUAUUCUAUCCUCAGACCUGGGAUUUUCCUCUAAUUGUUGCUACCUGCGUAAGCACCCAGAUAACUAUCUAA
rnacentral:rRNA from 1 species